rnacentral:lncRNA from 1 species
UAUUUUAUAUCUAAAAUACAAAUAUGUUUAUUUAACUUAAAUAAAUAAAUAAAAAUAAAAAUUUUAAAAUUCUUAAUUAACACAAAUAAAUUUAAAAAAACAAUAAAAAAAUAUUGAUGGGCAGUUUAAAUUGAAAACGUCAACGUAAAACUUUCAAUCUGGAAGGUUUGACUUUUGUAAACCAAACUAAAAGUAAUGAUUAUUUAAGCGUCAACACCUCACACUCUAUCCCAC